rnacentral:piRNA from 1 species
UAUGAACAGAACCAUGACAGCGAGGA